UAGAGAUACCCAGCUGAAUAUACCAGCGUUAGGCGUUCCUUGUUGAAGAUUCGUCAAAAGGGUGGUCAAGCACUAUUGCAAGCACAACCCAUGGGCUUGCUGGGGCGAGGGUGUUGAUGACGAGAAUAGCCUGAAGGCCAUUUAGAGCGAUC